rnacentral:rRNA from 1 species
UACGGAGGGUGCGAGCGUUGUCCGGAAUCACUGGGCGUAAAGGGCGCGUAGGCGGCCUGAUAAGUAGGGGGUGAAAUCCUGCGGCUUAACCGCAGGGCUGCCUUCUAAACUGUCAGGCUUGAGCACAGUAGAGGCAGGUGGAAUUCCCGGUGUAGCGGUGGAAUGCGUAGGGAUCGGGAAGAACAUCAGUGGCGAAGGCGGCCUGCUGGGCUGUUGCUGACGCUGAGGCGCGACAGCGUGGGGAGCAAACAGG